GAUGAACGCUAGCGGGAGGCUUAAUACAUGCAAGUCGAGGGGUAACAGGAGAGCUUGCUCUUGCUGACGACCGGCGCACGGGUGAGUAACGCGUACAUAACCUACCUUCAAGAGGGGGAUAGCCCUGGGAAACUGGGAGUAAACCGCCAUGUGAUUAUUAAUUUAUAGGAAUAAAUAAUUAAAACUGAGGUGCUUGAAGAUGGAUGUGCGUUAGAUUAGCUAGUUGGUACGGUAACGGCGUACCAAGGCUACGAUCUAUAGGGGGCGUGAGAGCGUGAUCCCCCACACGGGUACUGAGACACGGACCCGACUCCUACGGGAGGCAGCAGUAAGGAAUAUUGGACAAUGGGCGCAAGCCUGAUCCAGCCAUCCCGCGUGCAGGAUGACGGCCCUAUGGGUUGUAAACUGCUUUUAGAUAGGAAGAAACCCCCUCUCGUGAGAGGGGCUGACGGUACUAUCAGAAUAAGCACCGGCUAACUCCG
rnacentral:rRNA from 1 species